rnacentral:lncRNA from 1 species
GUUUGAGAGGAGUUGUGAUGACAAGAAACAGGACUGAUAGACUGGCUGAUGGACGGACGGACGGGUCAAAAAUGUUAUACCCUGCGCCACUUCCUUGUGUAGGGUAUAAAAAUAGGAAGAUGGGGUGUCAUUGUUUAUGAGGCAACUCUUCACCAGAGACCAAUUUACAUAGAAGAUAACAAUUAUGUCCCCGUACGGACUUCAACAAUUACUAUAAACUGAUAUACCACAUAGUCAAACAAAUAAAAGUCCCAGAAAUUACGUUUUUUUUAUAUGACUGCACAUAAUGAAAAUUAAAGUUGUGCAUACUGAAUGAUCACUGGCAAGUAUUUCAAGCAUAAUACGGAUGAGAACAUGCAGAUAAGUAUCAAUUAUGAAAGUUAUGCAAAGUAAGACGGGAGCUAGAUAUAUGGACUGCCAUAAAAAAAA